CAGCCAUGCCGCGUUGAGUGAAGAAGGCCUUCGGGUUGUAAAGCUCUUUCGGCCGGAACGAAAUCGUCCGGGCUAAUACCCCGGAUGGAUGACGGUACCGGAAGAAGAAGCACCGGCCAACUACGUGCCAGCAGCCGCGGUAAUACGUAGGGUGCGAGCGUUGUCCGGAAUUACUGGGCGUAAAGAGCUCGUAGGUGGUUUGUCGCGUUGUCCGUGAAAACUCACAGCUCAACUGUGGGCGUGCGGGCGAUACGGGCAGACUGGAGUACUGUAGGGGAGACUGGAAUUCCUGGUGUAGCGGUGGAAUGCGCAGAUAUCAGGAGGAACACCGGUGGCGAAGGCGGGUCUCUGGGCAGUAACUGACGCUGAGGAGCGAAAGCGUGGGGAGCGAACAGGAUUAGAUACCCUGGUAGUCCACGCCGUAAACGGUGGGUACUAGGUGUGGGUUUCCUUCCUUUAGGGAUCCGUGCCGUAGCUAACGCAUUAAGUACCCCGCCUGGGGAGUACGGCCGCAAGGCUA
rnacentral:rRNA from 1 species